rnacentral:lncRNA from 1 species
CUAUUGUUGGAGAAGAGAGCUUUGUUAAACUCAAACUUACGGCAAAUUUACUGCGGCAGCAAGGAAAAAUAUAGCAGACAAGAAAUGAAUGCAGUAGAAAAAUAAAAAUAUUAAUCAAAACAUUUUAUGGGUAUGAAUUGCUGUUGGAAUUUUAGUUCUUAGCAUCAACUCAUGAAGGAAACUAAAUCUCUGUUACAAACUUCCAAGUUUAUGGGAUCAAUUCAUAGAAGAAACUAAAGCUCAGCUCAUAAAGGAAACUAAACAUAUAGCAUUUAACAACUUUUA